rnacentral:rRNA from 1 species
AUUGAACGCUGGCGGCAGGCCUAACACAUGCAAGUCGAGCGGUAGCACAGAGAGCUUGCUCUCGGGUGACGAGCGGCGGACGGGUGAGUAAUGUCUGGGAAACUGCCUGAUGGAGGGGGAUAACUACUGGAAACGGUAGCUAAUACCGCAUAACGUCGCAAGACCAAAGUGAGGGACCUUCGGGCCUCAUGCCAUCAGAUGUGCCCAGAUGGGAUUAGCUAGUAGGUGGGGUAACGGCUCACCUAGGCGACGAUCCCUAGCUGGUCUGAGAGGAUGACCAGCCACACUGGACCUGAGACACGGUCCAGACUCCUACGGGAGGCAGCAGUGGGGAAUAUUGCACAAUGGGCGCAAGCCUGAUGCAGCCAUGCCGCGUGUGUGAAGAAGGCCUUCGGGUUGUAAAGCACUUUCAGCGGGGAGGAAGGCGGUGAGGUUAAUAACCUCACCGAUUGACGUUACCCGCAGAAGAAGCACCGGCUAACUCCGUGCCAGCCGCCGCCGUAA